ensembl:snRNA U6 U6 spliceosomal RNA
AUGCUCACUUUGGCAUCAUAUAUACAAAAAUUGGAUCAUUAGGGAAAAGAUGAGCAUGGCAUCUGUGUAAGAAUGACACACAAAUUCAGGAAGUGUUCCAUAUUUUU